GGUUCUAUGGUGUAGUGGCUAUCACGUCUCGUUUACAGUUGCGUCUUGUCCUGCUUUCGGGACAAGCCUCGUCUGUCUCCCGAGCAGGUCCCGCGUUCGAGCCGCGGUAGAAUCA